GGAGUGAAAGGGGCCGGAGGAGCUCAGCAACGGGUUCCGGAACUUGCACACCCGGAUUCUCCAUGAUGGCUACUCAUCCCAAAACUUCUCUUUGUCCAUGCUGUCUCAAGCCAACUUUAGACUCUUGUCCUUGACAAUGCGGAUGAUGGACGUGGGUCCUGACCAAUAACUACGGGGAUAGCUUCCGGCGCCCUCUCGAUCGUUCACCAAUCACAGGGCGCGGAAAGGCUUGACUUCCUGCCGCUGGGUGGACCUUCCGGCGUUGAUCCGCUGUCCUUUGUCCGGUUGCAGAGAUUAUAAACAAAAUCAAAUCGAAGUUUCUUGAAUGUGUAAAUAUAAAGUUUCUGGAGGGAAGUGUUGGCUGUGAUUUUGCAGCGAACGUGCUAAUCUUUGACUGUAGAAGUGGAUUUGCAAAGGUGGGAUCGCAAAGUUAGCAUUUUAUUAGGAGUCACUCGACUCAUCGGGAUCUGUGGAUUACCAGCCUCUCAACAUGCAAAGAAAAUUGUUUGUCUGUGCAAUCGAUGGGAAAACAUUUCAGAGAUUACCCAGACUGAGCCCUGCUCAGAGUGAGAAUUUCCAGGUGCAGUAACUGUGGAACAAACUUCAGCCAGUAACGCAGCCUGAAAGGUUUUCGCCCCAUUCACGGUGCAGGGAGGCUGCAAGAGUGUCGUAUUUGUCGAAAGGGAUUCAGCCAUUCUUCCGGACUGGAGAAAUUCUGGGAACAACUCUGCAGCACGGAGAGACCCUGCAAGUGUGGAG